rnacentral:rRNA from 1 species
GACGAACGAGGGGGGAGGGCGGAACACAAGCAAGUCGAACGGAAAGGCCCUGCUUUUGUGGGGUGCUCGAGUGGCGAACGGGUGAGUAACACGUGAGUAACCUGCCCUUGACUUUGGGAUAACUUCAGGAAACUGGGGCUAAUACCGGAUAGGAGCUCCUGCUGCAUGGUGGGGGUUGGAAAGUUUCGGCGGUUGGGGAUGGACUCGCGGCUUAUCAGCUUGUUGGUGGGGUAGUGGCUUACCAAGGCUUUGAGGGGUCGCCGGCCUGAGAGGGUGACCGGCCACAUUGGGACUGAGAUACGGCCCAGACUCCUACGGGAGGCAGCAGUGGGGAAUAUUGCACAAUGGGCGGAAGCCUGAUGCAGCAACGCCGCGUGCGGGAUGACGGACUUCGGGUUGUAAACCGCUUUCGCCUGUGACGAAGCGUGAGUGACGGUAAUGGGUAAAGAAGCAACGGCUAUCUACGUG